CACAGUGGGCAGUUUAGCCAAUGGUCUCCAAUACUAGCUGCCUGGAAUUAUGAUCUUGUCUCUCACCUGACCUAGUGCACAUCCCUGAACUACUACCUCACUUGGAGGAAGCUUGGCUAAUGUUGCUAACCCAGCUUAUCUUUGGAAAGGUGAAGAAAGACCAUGAGCCUGAUUUAUGACCUUGGAUGGAGUCAGUGUUAACAAAGGGAUGCGGCUCCAAAGCAGAAGAGAACAUCUACUGCUCUUAUCACUGCCUGAGAGAUGAUGAGUGCAGCAAUAAAAGCCCUAAAGAAGACACAGGGUCUCCUCCUACACUGACCAAUCUUACCUUGAAGUCAGGGAUUUGGUAGCCUUUGCGAAGGGUGAUCUGGAACACAUCCAUGGAACUGAUAAAAGCUGCCAAUCUUGUCAGACUCUGCUUACCACUCCCACCUACACCAACUAGCAGGGCAUUUCCUCGAGGAGACUCCAGGAUUCGGUUGAUGUGGCAGCUGGAGAGGAGUAAGCAGAGACACAUCACAAAGUCCACUGUCCACAGAAAGAAGCACAAAGGUUGUAAUGAUUGAAGAGGAAAUGGGAGCCUCUUCCAGAGGCACAACUGAACUUGGGGGGAAUUUUCAGUUUGCCCUCAAACAUGGUAUCAUCUUCUUGCUCAAGUGCACUGAAUUUGUCAUGGCUUUACAUGAAGCCAGAAGCCCCAUUGAGCUGGCGAGAGUUGGGGAAAUGGUCAGGGAAUGCUGGCAGGCCUGGUAGGGUGAGUGGUGGGACUGGAGAGGGACUCAAGUGAUUAUCUUCUUCUCCCUCACUGGAUCUGCCUUUUCCCCAGUGUCCUCCUUCUCACCUAUUUGUGACUUUGGGUAAAAGAGGAACCAAGAAAAAGAAGAAAAGUAAAAAAAAAACCUGCUACUAGGAAAAUAAUCAGAGAAAGCUAAAGCCUUGAAGACAAGGCUAGAAGUAUCUGUCUCAUGAAGAAUGAGAACAAAGUUAAAGCAUAGGAAGAAAGCAGGGAGUUCAGGCUUGAGCCUCAGUCCUCUAACCCUUCCUGGAUGCUCAUGUUCAAGCAAUGGAUAUUUGUGGAUGUCACUUUGCUUCUAGAUUCUUCCCCUCAAACAUCUUGGCACUCCCCAUAUCUGCUUGUCUACCUCAGCAGUGGGAAAGUACUUCAGGUCUCCUCUGGGCUUAUAUUAUCAUCUAUGAAGGAAGCCACUACCAACCGAAGAAGCCUUCAAAUGAUAUACCUGCAGCCUCCUUCAGACUCUCAUUCUAACCUUCCAUUAAUCUCCACCAGCAGUAAAUUUUAUAUAAGGCACCUAAUGGCCUCUCAUUAUACAAAAUAU